rnacentral:rRNA from 1 species
CCUACGGGAGGCAGCAGUGGGGAAUUUUGCGCAAUGGGCGAAACCCUGACGCAGCAACGCCGCGUGAGUGAUGAAGGCUUUCGGGUCGUAAAGCUCUGUCAGAGGGGAAGAAAUGGGUCUGGCUAAUAUCCAGAUUCCUUGACGGUACCCUCAAAGGAAGCACCGGCUAACUCCGUGCCAGCAGCCGCGGUAAU